AGGCAGUUGGCAUUGGCCCCAUUCAAGCACUCCCCGAGGUCUACAGUGGAGAAGAGAAGGCUGCCAAGCCCCUGUGAAGAAGAAAGAGACUGUGUAUCGUCCCAGCCCCUCGUGACUUCACACUGGGUGUGAAGACAGAAUAGGAUCCUGAAAGAGGCCGACUUUAACGAAAGGAAUGAGUGUGUGCACUUUUGGACAUGGCGUCUAGAUGUCCUUCCAAUUAAGCGGUGCACAGUAAGUUGGGGAAACCGGAUUCAGAUGCAAGGUUCGCAGCAAAGGCGCUAAAGAAUCGCACAGUCAACCUCGUCUACAGAUGGCUGGAGGCAUGAGACACAAGCUUUCAAAGCAGUUUUUAAGCCACCAACCAUAAAGGCUCAGGAAAGAAUCCAGAAACUACCCCAAAAUUUCCCAUGAUGAUUGACAUCAAGAGAACACCAUUCUGGACCAGUUUCUGAGGUAACGGGAGUAUUUUCUCUGCCACCAGUUCCUGUAAACAGUAGCAAUGUGUGUUCACUGCGCUUGAGAUGUACCCACUGCAACUGAGGCUCUGGAUCAUUUAUUUAAGUUAACUUAACUUUACAUAGUCAUGCUCAGCUAGUGUCUGCUGGAAAAAAAGAACAUGGCCUGGCCUUUCCCCUAUGCUCACGGAUUGUGAAGGGACAUAAGGAAAGGUAGGAACAUGUGUCAUUGUGACCUCGCUUCCUCCAACCUGGUAUGUGUGCUUACUAAUUAACCUACUUAUAGAAGGGUUAGAGAGAUGGCUCAGUGGUUAAUAGCACCAGCUGCCCUUAUAUAAGACCUGAGUUCAAUUCUCAGC
rnacentral:lncRNA from 1 species